rnacentral:rRNA from 1 species
GACGAACGCUGGCGGCGUGCUUAACACAUGCAAGUCGAACGAUGAAGCCUAGCUUGCUAGGUGGAUUAGUGGCGAACGGGUGAGUAAUACGUGAGUGUCCUACCUUUGACUCUGGGAUAAGCCUGGGAAACUGGGUCUAAUACCGGAUACGACCAAUCUCCGCAUGGGGUGUUGGUGGAAAGCGUUAUGGAGUGGUUUUAGAUGGGCUCACGGCCUAUCAGCUUGUUGGUGAGGUAAUGGCUUACCAAGGCGACGACGGGUAGCCGGCCUGAGAGGGUGACCGGCCACACUGGGACUGAGACACGGCCCAGACUCCUACGGGAGGCAGCAGUGGGGAAUAUUGCACAAUGGGCGCAAGCCUGAUGCAGCGACGCCGCGUGAGGGAUGACGGCCUUCGGGUUGUAAACCUCUGUUAGCAUCGAAGAAGCGAAAGUGACGGUAGGUGCAGAGAAAGCGCCGGCUAACUACGUG